AAAAUACUUGAUAUUGUUUGAAAGAAUGAUUUUGUAUAGAAUGAUAAAAAACUAUUUAUCAUUACUAUAUUUUUAAUAUUUAGAUAUAACAACAUAAAAUAUAUUUGGAAAACUUAUUAAACCCUCUAAAAUCCUCCCAACAAAAACCCUUCAAUUCUUUCCAUUAAAUUCUUCCUUUUUCCCCUCCCUUCCCCUCCAAAUUCCCAAAGAGACCCUUAAAUCUUUCCCUUUUCUUAAUUUUUUUUAUAACAAAACUUCAAAAAAUAUUUGUAUUUUGUAUUUUUGGUUUUAUGAUUUAUUUUCUAUUUU
rnacentral:lncRNA from 1 species